UAAACAAAGCACCUAAGAUGGAGACCCCUAAAGCCCUAGUGGCAGCAAGGAUGACUCAGUUGGAGCAGAGAAAGUCCCUUGUCCAAGGUGUCCUCUCCACAGGAAAUGUCCCCUUUUCCAAGAAGGGUUCCUACCUGAUGUGGGACACAAAGAGGGCCCUGCUUCCGCAGUCCGGGCCUCUAGAGUGCCA